UUUAUGUAACUAUUUACAAAAGACCUGUGUCCUAGAUGCUUCUGUAAAAAAUAUAGAGCCAGCCAGGCAACAGAUCAACCUUGAUUUUUAUAUUAACAAAAGGGUGAAUGAAAUAUCAUCAUCCUGAAUUUUAACUGCCAUUUAUGAACUAAAUGGUUCUUCAGCAAGUAAAUCUAUAAGCUGCAAAGCAGUAGUGCCCACCACAAUGAGAACACAUUUCUUUUCAUAUGAAGAUAUUGACAUAUGAUUCAAUGUGGUAUUAUAAAUUAAGAUGUUAUAGAUAUAUAAUAUGUUGUGGGGAAGGACUUCUUAGAAAAAUAACAACAGUAUUACACAAAAUUUAGAAAGAUUGUAAAUAUUCCUGUCUAAAAAAUAUGAGUAUACACGACAUCUUUAAAUGUAACCCAUGUUAAACAUGAUUCAUAUUGUGUAGAGAGGAAAGGGGUUUAUAUCUUAAUUUCAAAUAUCUUGGAUUUCAGAGAAGAACAGCAUCAGGGAACCAAAAGACUAUCUUUUGUUUCAUCAGUGUUUAAUACUGAGAAAGAAGAUGGAAUAUAUUCUUUCUUUACUCUCUUCCCAACUACUUACAAACCCAGCCACAUAUCUCAAGCAAACAGAGUUUCACGUGAGCCUCUUCAUUGUUUCCAUCAUGCUCUCCAGCACACAUUCAAUCAGUCUCCUCUCCUAUUUUGGAAUAAGCAGUCAUGGAAUUUUGCUGAAAAUUUCUUGCUGUGCCUUCGAGAUUAAUUCUCUCCGUUAAGUGAACACGGAUGGAAAUAAUUAACCUUUCACUUGGUAUUAAUAGAAAAAAGUAGAAUUUCAGUAGCACUAAUCUACUUUAUAGGCUAUUACUUCUAUUGUCUCCAUCCCAUCUCUGUUCCCACAUGUGACCAUCUGGUUCACAGAAUGCAUCAGUUCGUUUGUGUCAUUUGCAUGACUAUGGGUCCAAAGAGCAUAAUAGGAGAUGAAGGAAACCUUGCACAUGUUGGAAGGAGAGAGCUGAGUUAUGUACCCCAGGAGUUCUCAUUUUGGUUAUUUUUGGAAAAUACAUGGUAUAUCACUCCUGGGCAAUGUGAUUGUUAAAUCACUGUUAUGACCUCAGAAAAGGAGUGUGGGUACAGAAAUUGGUGUAAAUGUGCUUAUAGUAUUGUAUGUUCCAAUAACGUGUGAGAUUUGAUAAGCAUUAAUACAACAUCCCCUGACUUUACUACACAUCUACUGUAAUCAUGGGAAAUGAAAUCUACAUAAUACGGUGCCUGACAUUAAGUAGUAGAUACCAUAAUCCUACCUUAUAUGGAAUCUUGAGGACCUCUUGGCUCCUGUAACCCUCUAUCAUAAGGAGCAAGAACUCUGGAUUGGGACCCAGAAAUCUGUGCUUUGACAAGCCCUGCAAAAGAUUCAGAUGCACGCUCGAGUUUGAGAGCCAUGACCAUAAGCCUUCAACUAUUAACUCCAAGUGAUGUUUCUUCCUAAUGUCUUAGAUCCACCUAUACUGUUUUUUAUUUCUAACCUCCUGUUCCUUUUGCUUUUCCAGAUAUUCAACACCUCUUCUGGGAAAACUGGAAUAAUCCCUAACAAAUUUUUCUGCUUUGAAUAUCCACUCCCCACCCUUGACUUUUUAGUCUUUCUUAAACAUCCCUUUCAUUAUGGUCUCUUACUUCAAACUCCCAGAGUAUUCCCACAGCCACCUGGCUGAAGUCCAGUUGUCCUAACUGUGUUCUUUAACACUCCACAUUGUACAAGCUUCUCACCUAACUUAACUUAUUUCUCCUUUCUGCCCAACUUGAUUCUCACUCUGAUGAGGCUUUUUUUUCUUAAUUUCAAUGUCAUUCCUUGCACAUAUUUUUCCUCUGUCCUUUUGUAUAUACUCUUCUUCCAAGUCUAAAUCAUUCUUUCUUAACCCUUUUCUAUUUUGAAAUCCUAAUCACUUUCAAAGUUCGCUUCCUUCAGGAAAACUUCCCCAUCACCACAUCACAAAUUGAUCUCUCCCUUAUUGUUCAUUUUUCUCCUCUGACAACUACUUAUACACUAUCUUGCAUUAUUGUGUACAUGUUGUCCCCAUGAACAAAAUUUCGAUUUCUACUUCUUUGUGUUUUCACCCAGUACCUUACAUGGCACAGACUUGUGUUCAGAAACUGCAUUGGACUUUGAAUAAUAACUCCAAAGUUUUGAAAAAUAGAUAAAAGGCUUGUCUUCAGCUAGACUAUUAUUCAGAUGAUUGUUUCUUGGUCAUAAUUCCUAUACUAAGUGAAAAUUACUACAGUGUUUUGGAUGAAGGUAACUGUGCAAUGAGAAGUUAUUCUCUGUAGAGGCAGGGGAGCUGUGAUCCCCAGUGGUAGUGAACAGCUCUGAGAAUGACUUAUUGGAUCAGGAAAAGGAAAAUGGGCACUGUUUUACAGUGUGUAAGGGAGUUGAAAAUAGUCCAGAGACACAAAGAUAGUGUUCUUUUUUUUUGUCAAUGAUAUUAAGACCAAAAAGGUAAAAAAGAAAAUUGAUCUCUUUCUGCUUGCCUUUGCUGCUGCAGAGGAAAUGUAUUUUGGAAAAGGAAAAAAUUACAUCAAAUAUAUAAGCCCUAUGAUAAAAGAAGUCCUGACUGUAGAUUCCAGACAAAGCCUGACUUGUCGUAUAAUGUUAGUCAAAUUACUUUGUGCUCUGAUUCGCAGUUUCCACCUAUCAAAUGAAGAUCAUAAUGCCUUUUCCUUGGGGUUAUUGUAAAAAUUCAGGGAGACAAUGUCUGUUCUUGGAUCAGAGUUUGGAAAACUAAAUCCUUGUCAUUCUGGGGCUAGUUUCAGGACAAGGUGUGAAGUGUAAGGCACUCAUCAUACCAGGGAACAUGACGGCCUUUAUUCCUAUAUUCUUCAACCCUCCCCUACUAUUGGAGCCCCAAGCUCACAGGAGCUAUGAAGAGAAGGAAGUUAAAUGCUUGAGCAGACACGAGGAAAACAGCAUGCCUCCACCUGUAUUAGGAAUGAUAGGUGUUCUCUCCGGGUCUCCCUGGAUACAGAAACACCAAGGUCCAUUUACUUUUAAAAGACAUCAUUGCAUAGUAUCUAUAGAUUUGCUGAGUGCCUGCCAUGUGCCAGGCAACAUGCUAGGUGCAUUCAUAUAUAUUAUCUCAUUUUUUCCUUGUCACAUUUCCACGAUGCUGGUAGCCCAAAGAGGAAAGUCGAAAAAAGGUAAGCAUAUUUCCUAGCAGAAGAACAGAUAUAUUUUUUACUUCAAAGAUGAUGUUCUUUCUACUCUACCAGGAUGCCAUUCUGAAUCCAGCAUGACCUAGCAGAAGGAGCCACAUGCAAGAGAAGGUCCUACCAAGACUUGAUGUUUUUAAGGUCCUUAUGAAAAGAGUUCCUUCAUGACUUACCUUCUGCAAAAGAGCAGGCAAUCCAUUCUAGAAGAGAUUAAUGGCCCAUUUAGAAAGGCUCAAUUGCUAUAAACACAGAGCAAGUCUUUUGUCCAGCUUCCAGAGAAGAUUGGGUCCAGGAGCUACUGCUGAUUACCAUGGAGCCUAUAGUGAGCUCGAUGUGGGGAUAAACCCACCUGGAUGAAAGAUUAUUAAGGGCAUUCCUUACUGCACCUGACACCAAGGGAAAUUUCAUCUGCAGUGGAGUCUUGGCACUGGGAAAGUGGCUCUCCUUGGAACUUGAGGAGGUCAUCAACUAAAGAAACAUAGCUUCAAAUAAACCCCAGUCUGUGGAAGGGCUCUAGACGGGGGAUGACAAUAAUAAUAAUGAUAAUAACAACUGGUAGCAUUUACCAAGUGUUUCUGUAAGUUCCAGGCAAAGUGCUCAACCCUUUAUGGACAUCCCCUCAUUCUGGUAACCCUAUUCAGUAGGUUCUAUAACUAUUCUUCUUUAUCACUUGAGGAAACUGAGGCCUAGAGAGGUUAAAACUCGCCCAAGAGCAAAUCUUGCCAAAACUAAGCUUGAAAAUGAUGGAAUCUGGAUUCAAAUUCCAGUCCAUCUGAACGUCAGAGCCCUCCAAUUCCUCUAUUACUUUCUACCGAGUGUAUAAGAGACCUAGUAGUAGAGUGAACAUAUAAUUUAGCAUCCAUUCUGGGACAUGUUUGAAAAUGAAACAAGGUAUUAUUGAUAAUUACACCAGGACAACAGGGCAAACUGGGAUGGAUAUAUGAACAUACUGCUUAAGAGACCUGACACCUGCCUGAGUGAUGAAAUGACAAAUCUGGAUCCACUCAGAUUUUAAUAUGGGUCAACUCAUCCCAGAUUUUAGUAGGAAAAUUUUCAAAGGAGAGACCACUACCCUCACGUAGGCAGCUUCUUCUCAUCUGCUUGACAUGAAUACCUACUUAAAAAGUUGGCAUCUGUUUGCCUUUGCCUAGUUUUUAGCACCUUUCUCUUCGUUUCAGUUUGUGCUGUCACAAGAAUUUUUUUCUUUAAUGAAGAACUUUUUGCUUUUAAAGUAUUUAUUGCCUUUUUAGCUUACAUUGUCAUUAGAAUGAGUUGUUUUAUUUUUGUUAAUGCCCUCGAGUGAAUUCCAGCUCUAGUGACCCUGUGUACGGCAGAGUGGGACCCUGCCUGGUCUUUUGCACCAUCCUCUUACCUUCUGGCGCUAUAUCAGACAAUGCCCUGUUGCUGUUCAUAGGGUUUUCAUGGCCGAUUUUUUCGGAAGUGAGUGGCCAGGUCCUUCUUCCUAGUCUAUCUUAGUCUGGAAGCUUGGCUGAAACCUGUCUACUGCGGGUGACCCUGCUGGUAUUUGAAAUACCAGCAGCAUAGCUUUCAGCAUCACAGCAACAUGCAGCCACCACAGCAUGACAACCGACAGACGGGUGGCGUGGUUCCCCAACUGGAAACGAAUCUGGGCCAUGGAGGUUUGGGAAUCAUGAAUAAAGCUGCUUUAAACAUCCAUGUGCAGGCUUUUGUGUAAACAUAAUUUUUCAUCUCAUUUGGGUAAUUACCAAGGAGCACCAUUGCUGGAUCAUACGUGAUUGUUCUGUAAAACAUAAAGCCUAUCCACAACUUAUUGAAGAAAACUUUAAGUUUUCCUUUUCUACAUUCUCCUUUCUACACAAGUGUAGCCCUCCACAGCUCUCAAGAGAAAGCCUGAGGUUUUACCGUGAUCUCUCCUUCACAAAGAGACUUCAAUUCCAAGUUUCAUCUCUUCAGAACUAUCAGUCAGACUCAUACCUUCAGCACUGGCGCAUUAAGUGGAUGGACUCAGGAAGAAGGGAAAAAGGAGGCCACUUGGACCAACAUUAGCCUCUACGAGAAGAGUCAUCCGCAGAAUCUAGACUAGUUCACCAGAUAUCUUAUUGGGGUUGGAGACUAAAUCCCUAAUGGGGUUUGUCCUCUGGAUACACACAUCCUUUGAAGACCUAAAGAAGUAGACGACCAUGGCAGGACCACAUGGGAAUCCAGGAUCCUCAGUAAUAUUCAGAUACUAAGCAUUGUAUAGCUAGAAUGGUAUAUUGGUAAAGAACAUGAAUUUGGGAGUUAAGCAGGCUUGAAACAGAAUCACAUCUUCACCACCACCUAGCUGUGUGGUCAUGGACAAGUUGUUUAUACUCACUCAUCUCAGCUUUCUCAUUUGUACAAUAAAUUGAUUAUAGUACC